rnacentral:rRNA from 1 species
UGUGCAGAGAAGCGGUAAUACGAAGGGGGCUAGCGUUGCUCGGAAUGACUGGGCGUAAAGGGCGCGUAGGCGGCUUACACAGUCAGUUGUGAAAUUCCUGGGCUCAACCUGGGGACUGCAUUUGAUACGUGCGGGCUUGAGUGAAGAAGAGGGUCGUGGAAUUUCCAGUGUAGAGGUGAAAUUCGUAGAUAUUGGAAAGAACACCGGUGGCGAAGGCGGCGACCUGGUCUUUUACUGACGCUGAGGCGCGAAAGCGUGGGGAGCAAACAGGAUUAGAUACCCUGGUAGUCCACGCUGUAAACGAUGUGUGCUGGAUGUCGGGGAACUUAGUUUCUCAGUGUCGUAGCUAACGCGAUAAGCACACCGCCUGGGGAGUACGGCCGCAAGGUUGAAACUCAAAGAAAUUGACGGGAA